UUGGAGGGCAAGUCUGGUGCCAGCAGCCGCGGUAAUUCCAGCUCCAAUAGCGUAUAUUAAAGUUGUUGCAGUUAAAAAGCUCGUAGUUGAAUUUCGGGAUCAAUGUUUCGGUCAUGCCGUUGGUAUGCACUGUUAUCAUUGAUUUCUCACCUUCUAAAGAACCGUAAUGCCAUUAAUUUGGUGUUACGGGGAAUUAGGACUGUUACCUUGAAAAAAUUAGAGUGUUUAGAGCAGGCUCACGCUUGAAUACAUUAGCAUGGAAUAAUGAAAUAGGACAUCCGAUUCUAUUUUGUUGGUUUCUAGGAUCGAUGUAAUGAUUAAUAGGGAUAGUUGGGGGCACUAGUAUUCAAUUGUCAGAGGUGAAAUUCUUGGAUUUAUUGAAGACUAACUACUGCGAAAGCAUUUGUCAAGGAUGUUUUCAUUAAUCAAGAACGAAAGUUAGGGGAUCGAAGACGAUCAGAUACCGUCGUAGUCUUAACCAUAAACUAUGCCGACUAGGGAUCGGAUGAUGUUAAUUUUUUAAUGACUCAUUCGGCGCCUUACGGGAAAC
rnacentral:rRNA from 1 species